rnacentral:lncRNA from 1 species
CAGGAGUGGACCCCAUGCAUCUGCAGGGCAUGAUAGAUAUCCUGACAGAUGCUCUUUUCCCCAAUGCUAUGGGUAGUGGGCGCUUUGAUAGCAGGUGAAGCCGGUUCCUGCUCAGUGAGUGAGGUAAAGAGCUCCAUUAGACGCCCCGCGGGAUUGCAAGACAAUUCUGUAGAGACAGACUGCGUGGCGGAGCAAACGGGCCCCUCACUUAACCCGCCUUCCAGGGAGGCUCGGGCUCAUCUGUCUCCUGUCACUUUAGAUUCCACCGUCACCUCUUCAUCAUCCCUCGAGCUGCCACGGAGGCUGGUGCCGGUUCCAGCUGGGAAGGGGGGAACAAAAGAAAAAGAGAGAGAGCAGGAGGGGCAGAAGAACAUAUUAGCACGGAGUGGAAGUGAAGCCCCAGAAGAUGGACCGUCACCUAUGCUCGUGCCUCCUGAGCAAAGCAAGUUUUGGAUGGGGAAGUUCUGCCCUGCUCACACACCUUAUCUCCUUGUGAUCGAAGGUCAUCCGCUGCAGCAGCUAGGCCGUGUUUGUCCACCUCCCCUCUUUCUGCGCAGCGGAUUCGGUGCCGGCUUUUCAAGAGAUGGCUUCAGACUGUGCCCCUUACUCACCGAGGCGUCCCUUAAAGUUCGCUUUCAGCUUGGCAUGAUGUGA